rnacentral:rRNA from 1 species
AGUAUAUAUUUCCGGUCAAGAAACUAAGGGCGCAAGGCGGAUGCCUUGGCACCAGGAGGCGAAGAAGGACGUGACAAGCAACGAAAACCUCGAGUAGGAGCAAAUA